AGAGUUGUUCACCGAUCCCACACGAUAAAUAUGUGAAAUAUUUAUCUACCUAAUCCCCAUCUCUUCUUCUUCUUCUUCACAUUGUUAACAUCUCACUCAAUACCCAAUUUUCAUCAUUUUCCAACUUGGGUUUUGAUUUAAUCUCCUUAAUUCACUAUAUAUUUCAUAAAGUUUCGAUCUUUGCAUUUCUUGGUGUCUUUUAUUAUCAAAUUUCAGGUUUUUUCAGCUAAAGAAUUGAUGGCAAGUGUUGAGAAACAAGAAUUGGAGUAUGAGAGUGAUCCUGAGGAAUCUAGAUUGUCACUGACAAUGAUGAGGAGGAGAGAAGCUAGUGAUGAUGAAGAUGAGGAGAAAGAUUUAGUUGAUGGAAGUGGAAUGCCUGUUAGAAGAGUUGAUUCUCGGGUUUCGAAUUGCGAAUAUGAUGAUGAGGGUGCCCCUGCUGAGUAUAAUGAUGAGGAAUUUGAGGUUCAAGGAGAAGAAUUGGAUGGAGAAAUUGAGGGUGAGUAUGUGGAGGAGAGAGUGAGUGUGAGUGAUGUAACAGUUGUGGCUUUGGGAUUAGAUGAGGUGCCGGGGAUUAAUCGGGUUGAAGAGGGCGAAAAGGAGAAUGAUGGUGGGGUUUAUUUUGAGGGAUAUGAUCAGUUUGGUGACAAUGUGGUUAAUGAAAGAGUGGAAGGGGAGAAGAAAGAGAAUGAGCCUUUUGCAGUGCCAACAGCUGGAGCAUUCUAUAUGCACGAUGAUCGGUUUAGGGAGAGUCGGGGUGGUGGACGAGGGCGCCACAGGCGCACCUUUGGUGGAAGGAGUUUAUGGGAAUCAAAGGAUGAUAGAAGAUGGGGGCAUGACAAAUUUGAGGAGGUGACCAUGCGAGCAAGGAACUACGAUGAGGGUCGAAGAGGUUCUAGGGGUCGUAGUCGUGGUCGUGGUAGAGGUCGAGGUGAAGAACGUGUCUUUUCAAGAGUAAGCAGGACUAGGGCAUUCCAUAACAAAAAUCAAAAUAAUGAACCUAACAAUAAUGACAACACAAUGAACAAUCACAAUAAUGCGCUUGACAAUCAAAGGAAUGCAGUCAACUAUCAGAAAAGCACGCCCAAGGGUGAGAGGGGGAGAGGGCCCAGAAGUUAUCAGCCUACAUGGAAGAAACAUGAGUCUCCAGCAGAAAAUAAACAGCGUAAAAAGUCACCGGAGAGGAGCUCACAUGUGAAUGCUGGUAGAACAUCUGGUCAUAAACCAAGUGCAGAUAAUGAUUCUGUCCCAGUAACAAGACAUGUGUUUUCAAGCUUAAAUUCGGCUUCUCCUCCAUUUUAUCCCUCUGCCUCUUCCAAUGUAGAAACAAGUUUUGGGCAGAAAAUUGAUGAACAAUCUGCACCACCUCGCCAGAACCAACAGUCAUCUGUUGGAGAUGGAAGUUUCAUAAUGUCCCAGUCUAACACAAUGCAGGGGAAGAAUGUAGCGGAUUUAGUUGGCAUGAACAAACUUUAUAUUGAUGAUUCACGUUUAUACUCUACAAAGUCUUUGACUAACUCGCAGUUGCAAGAUUCUGGGUCAUCAUUAAUCAAUCCUUCUCAUUCACUUCAAUCUAGGGUUCAGGGAAGUAAUCAAGCUCACAUGAGGCAGAUUUCUUACCAACCAAAUGCUACUCAUAACCAAGUCAAAGGAGUCUCUACUUCAUUCUCACUUAGUAAUGUCCAGCAAAUCCCUGUUCAAACUCGAGGUCAGAUUGCCCCGCAAGCUUCAAGUCAGCAGUUUGAGCCACACCCAAGUGGUGGAAUUCAAACUUCUUAUUCAAUUGAACCUGAGGAAAUAGAUUCUGUGCUAGAAUCAGGUAAAUCAAGAACUGCAUUGGUUGAAAAAGGUAAAGGCGGCAUUAAAGAGCAUGUUAGGGGAAGCUUUCCUUAUGAUGGGGUUCAAAUUAUGGGAGCCUCUGGAAACUUUAGUUGUGGUCCCGGUGAUCAAAAUUUCUCUGCAACUCCAACUUUUUUGCCAGUUAUGCAAUUUGGAGGCCAGCAUCCUGGCAGGAUGGGAGUACCUGCUGUUGGUAUGGCCUUCCCUGGAUAUGUUGGCAAUCCGGAGUCAGGAAAAUCUGAGAUGACCUGGUUACCAGUUUUGGCAGGGGCUGCAGGAGCUAUGGGCGCAAGUUAUUGCAAUCCAUAUCUUUCUGUUGAUAGUGCUUAUCAUACUCGUCCAUCAGGCCAAACUCUUCCUAUAGCAGCUGGUUUGAGCAGAGAGAGCGAUGUGAUUAAGCCUGGUAAUGGAUUGAAGCCUUCUCAGAGACCAGAGCCUGCAAAUGAUGAGUUCGGGCAACGACAAAACAAAUCCCGAAGAUAUACAGAGAUGAAAUUCGACCAGUAAAGGACGUAGAUUGCUUGAACCUUUUGAAGUAAGCCAGUAUAGCUUAAAGGAUCAGAAGCAACCUUCUCACCUUGUUCCAUUUUAAAAUGGGUUUGUGGUACUCUUGGUGCUACAGAUGUCUCCGAGGCCCUUUGUGAUCUUUGGCAUCUAGGCUGGAGCACUUUGGGCCUAUUUAUUAUCCAUCAUAAUUAGGUAUGUGAACAAACACCCAUUCAUGCUGCAGUUACCAAGGGAAAGCUGUGCAGUUUGACGGGUGGCAGUUCUUUGUUCAAAUUUGUGGUUUCUUUUGGCUUGCAGCUUGGCUUCAUAUUCAGUAGGCCGGUUCUUGGUUGUGUGCUCAAAUCAUGGAAAAAGAUAAAACAAUUAUACCGUAGUAGCUGCUGUUUGCACAAGAAGUUGAUUAAGUUUAUUUCUUAAAAUUUUCUUUCUGAUGAUAUUCCAUAUCCAGGAAACUACUAGUAUAUUAGUAAGGUAUGACUGCUUCUGCUUACGACUCGGCGUUCUCCGGGUCCUGCCAAAGUUAUUCACUGUGUACUGUGUAGUGUGUACAACGACAAGUUAUCUAAAUCUUUGUUGCUGUAUUAAAAAUUUGUUCAAUGGGUUGUUCCUGUAAUACAGUUACUGAGGUGCUCA